CCCACCCCGCCACGACAGGCACGGACAGCAGGCCGGCGGCGUGAGUUCUCACGCGGAGCGGACUGCUCACAACGCAAAACGGCAGCAGUGGCCAGCUUCUUCCGGGCGAUGGUCGUGUCAGACGAAGCGUGAGCGCCCGCUAUGUUGCACCGCUUCCGUCCGUUCCGUCCGUUCCGUCCGUCCGUCCCUGAUGCCACCCAACCCGCCGCAGACUCGAGGACGACUCCUGUUGAACAGUGAGCGAAAACGGAGACAGCUGAGCACACUUCAGUGUCGUCGUUACGAAUCGAAGUGUCGUCUCGUAUCCGUCCAUCUUUCCUAAUUGGCCCGAUCCCCCCGACUCCGUCUGAGCCGCGGGUCCUCCCGGGUCCGCGCCGGUCCGACGUUGCAGAGCCCGCACGGCGAACAUCGCCUUUGCCCGGAGUCGCGAGCCUUGAACUGACUGAGCCCGGCGCGCCCAGGACUCGAACCUCUCUCUCUCUCAGACCUUCGCUGCACCGUUGAAAGCUUACGGUUCGCUGGUUUAGGUUUGCUUCUUGCACCACCUGCUCUACCCGUUACAAUGCCAAUACACGGAGCCGACGCUGACAUGCAAAGGCGAUUCUCGGAAGUCUUAUUAUUCCGCCUCCCUUAUCUCCCCCCCCUCCCUCAUUGAUAGCAGCCAAAACACUGACCGCAACAAAGCCUCCCCCCCCCGCCCCUCUUU